rnacentral:misc_RNA from 1 species
CGCUCGUGACUCAGAUUUUUUUGAUACACGCUGCUCACCAUGUCAAAGAGACUCGUCUGGUGCUGGUCCUAGCUAUUCACUGGGUAUGCAAAUUUAUGCAGAUGGAAAUAUAGUUACUUUGUUUCAUCAAGGAAGUGACCAAGUUGUUGGAAUUCCAUCAGCUAGGAAUUCAACACGUGCAUCAUCUGUCAUUGCAAUGGAUACAGUCUGUCAUAACAUAGAUGGUGAUUCUAUGGAAAGUGUUGAGAACUACCCCGGAGAUAUUGACGAUGUUCAUUUCCCCUCUUCCAGUACGCAUGGCAAUCUGGACAUGAAUGAGACAUCUGAACUGAAUUAUAGCAAUCAAGCCCAGAAAAGCUUUUGUGUCAGGCAUGCUGCUGAAGUAGUUCCUGGAGAAAUGGGUGUCAGUAGUACU